rnacentral:rRNA from 1 species
GAUGAACGCUGGCGGCGUGCCUAAUACAUGCAAGUCGAGCGAACAGAUGAGGAGCUUGCUCCUCUGACGUUAGCGGCGGACGGGUGAGUAACACGUGGAUAACCUACCUAUAAGACUGGGAUAACUUCGUGAAACCGGAGCUAAUACCGGAUAAUAUAUUGAACCGCAUGGUUCAAUAGUGAAAGACGGUUUUGCUGUCACUUAUAGAUGGAUCCGCGCCGCAUUAGCUAGUUGGUAAGGUAACGGCUUACCAAGGCAACGAUGCGUAGCCGACCUGAGAGGGUGUUGGGCCACACUGGAACUGAGACACGGUACAGACUCCUACGGGAGGCAGCAGUAGGGAAUCUUCCGCAAUGGGCGAAAGCCUGACGGAGCAACGCCGCGUGAGUGAUGAAGGUCUUCGGAUCGUAAAACUCUGUUAUUAGGGAAGAACAAAUGUGUAAGUAACUAUGCACGUCUUGACGGUACCUAAUCAGAAAGCCACGGCUAACUACGUG